AGCAGAACGGGCCCCAGGGGGGAGCUGGCGGAGACAGAAGCUUGCGGCGGCGAAAAAGUGAUUACGAUACUCGCCUGAUUUUUUGGGAAUAUUUGGGANNNNNNNNNNNNNNNNNNNNNNNNNNNNNNNNNNNNNGGGGCCCACAAGCCUGCAUGGCGCAAGAUCUAGAUAGAAGCAUCGUUGUUAGCUUGCAUAUCUGGUAAGCAACUCCUUGCUAAUCACAGGCGGUUAGAACAAAGCAAGGGAUGACACCUUCAAUGCGCAAAAUCCGCUCUAAGCUAGAGUGUGAAACUUCUUGGUGCAGUCGUUUUAUUUGUUGCUUGCUACUUUCUAAAAUGGAAGAUAAGAUGAAUGUAUGAAUAGAUUUCAUUUUUUAUCCAACAUUAGUUUCGAAUCGUGUGCAUCUAAAGCGUCCUUUACUAAAAACAAUGUAGUUAUAUCCAAACCUAGAGCAAUUGUAUGAUGAAUUAAGAAACCCCGUUCGCCCCAGCGAGCGAAUAUGCUGGCUCUGGCUCUGCCCACCUGCUCACACCUUCCACGUCACUUUCACGUGUGAACUGAAAUCGCCUUCUAGAACUCCUUCCUUUCUCAUUUCAGUCCUCGCCUUUUUCAUCUUCUGUAGGGGUCUUUAGUCUUUUGAUCAGCAUAGAUGUUGCGAGAGAGCAGAGUGUACCGCCCUCGCAUAGCCACGAUGAUCUUAAUAGUCGGUCGCGACUGUUAUCACACUCAAUAACGGUUGAAACUUACAGGAAAAAAAACUUCGAAUUGGGAGGGCAAUCCUCCUGUUGAACUAACUGUACCCCAAACCAACACAUGGUGAACAAGUAGAGUAUACUAGGGCGCGUCGAGAGAACCAUGUCGAAGGAACUCGGCAAAUGACUCCGUAACUUCUGAUUACGAAAGCGGCACAUGCCAGGGGGUAGAGAUUGUUUAUUAUAAACACAAGACUCCGCUAAGUGGUGAAACGAUGUAUAGAGUCUGAUACCUGGCCGAUGCUGGAAGGUCGGAAGGAUAAGUGUGCUAAGCUUUGAAUGAAAUCCCCGGUAAACGGCAGCACGGACUCUAACUGUCCUAAGGUAGCGAAAUUCCUUGUCGCAUAAGUAGCGACCUGCACGAACAGUGUAACGACGGCCCCGCUGUCUCCGACAAGGACCCGAUGAAAUUGAAUUCUCCGUGAAGAUGCGGAGUACCAAUAGCUAGACGGUAAGACCACAUCCACCUUGAGUAUAGAUUCGCAGUGACAACCUUGAUUGAAUGUGAAGGAUAGGUGGGAGGUGGUGACACACAACAACCAAUCCUGAGAGACCACUCUUUCAUCUAAGGAUACCUAACCACCGCACCGAUCAUUUGGGGGUGGGCACUGAGAGGUGGGUAGUUUAUCUGGGGAGGAUGCUCCUGAAGAGUGAGAGCCUACUUGACUGUGAAGGUGUGCGAAGGUAGGCUCAAGCGUUUAUUCUGCUCGUGAACGCAAUUGUAUAAUGCUAUAUGCUUAUGAGACAGACUAGUCGAACACAAACGAAAGUUGGCCAUGGUGAUCUGGUAGUCCCGUGUGGAAGCGCUCUUUCUCAACGGAUCAAAGGGACGCCGGGUAUAACAGGCUGAUGACUCCUAAUAGCUCUUAUCGACGGAGUCGUUUGGCACCUCGAUGUCNACUCAUCACAUCCUCGGGUUGAAGAAGGUCCCAAGGGUUCGGUUGUUCGCGUAUGAAAGUCGUACAUGGGUUGGGUUUAGAACAUCGUGAGACAGUUCAGUUCCUAUCUACCAUUGGUGUUAAAGGGAGAACUGCAAGGAGCCAGCCCUAGUAUGAAAGGAAUGGGUUUGCUCAACCUAUGGUGUACCCUCGAUACAACUCAUGUCGAUCAAGUAGGUAUCUUAUACCCCGACUCCCGACCUCCGUUGCCACAAGGCCCAAAACCAUUUUGAAAGCCUUGUUAAU
rnacentral:ncRNA from 1 species